rnacentral:rRNA from 1 species
GACGAACGCUGGCGGCGUGCUUAACACAUGCAAGUCGAACGAUGAAGCUGGAGCUUGCUCCGGUGGAUUAGUGGCGAACGGGUGAGUAACACGUGAGCAAUCUGCCCUUGACUCUGGGAUAACUGCGGGAAACUGUAGCUAAUACCGGAUACGAGGCUCGACGGCAUCUUCGGGUCUGGAAAGAAUUUCGGUCAAGGAUGAGCUCGCGGCCUAUCAGCUUGUUGGUGCGGUAAUGGCCCACCAAGGCGACGACGGGUAGCCGGCCUGAGAGGGUGACCGGCCACACUGGGACUGAGACACGGCCCAGACUCCUACGGGAGGCAGCAGUGGGGAAUAUUGCACAAUGGGCGAAAGCCUGAUGCAGCAACGCCGCGUGAGGGAUGAAGGCCUUCGGGUUGUAAACCUCUUUUAGCAGGGAAGAAGCGAAAGUGACGGUACCUGCAGAAAAAGCACCGGCUAACUACGUGCCAGCAGCCGCCGCGG